rnacentral:ncRNA from 2 species
UGAAGUGAUAGAGGUGCAAAAACCAUUAGUACAAAUUUUGAGGAGAGUGAGCUCCGUUGAUAGUUUGGAAAGGGGAAUUUGCCGAAGUAACUUGUUACUCAUAAAACUUGUUACUGGGCCUGUAUUGAAUAAAUGCAGGACUGUCGUAUAGUUAUAAGACUAUAUGGAGGGCUAUCUUACGC